AGUGAACGCUGGCGGUAGGCCUUACACAUGCAAGUCGAACGGCAGCACAGUAAGAGCUUGCUCUUACGGGUGGCGAGUGGCGGACGGGUGAGGAAUACAUCGGAAUCUACUUUUUCGUGGGGGAUAACGUGGGGAAACUUACGCUAAUACCGCAUACGACCUACGGGUGAAAGCAGGGGAUCUUCGGACCUUGCGCGAUUGAAUGAGCCGAUGUCGGAUUAGCUAGUUGGCGGGGUAAAGGCCCACCAAGGCGACGAUCCGUAGCUGGUCUGAGAGGAUGAUCAGCCACACUGGAACUGAGACACGGUCCAGACUCCUACGGGAGGCAGCAGUGGGGAAUAUUGGACAAUGGGCGCAAGCCUGAUCCAGCCAUACCGCGUGGGUGAAGAAGGCCUUCGGGUUGUAAAGCCCUUUUGUUAGGAAAGAAAAGCAGCAGGUUAAUACCCCGCUGUUCUGACGGUACCCAAAGAAUAAGCACCGGCUAACUUCGUG
rnacentral:rRNA from 1 species